UGAAGAUUGGAAUGGGCACCUUAUAAGUGAAACAAUUCAUCUAUUUACUGUGUGUAUACAUAUUAGGUAGCUACUAAAUUAACAAAGUUGAGUAGCUGUUAUAUAAAAGCAAUAGAACAAUAGAAAAUUGGUUGAAAACAAUAUGGGAAGAGUUUGAAAGUCGUAAAAAAAAACAAUUUGGAAAGCUAUAACAUCAAAGUUUAUUCAUCCGACCGACGUAGUUAUGUUGAAUGUGAUGGUAUAAAAUCCUCCUGCUUUGUAGCGAGUUAGGAUGUCCCACAAGGGUCUAUGCUUGGACCGUUAUCAUUCAUACUAUUUAUAAAUAACAUUUCCCAUGAUAUCACUUCUCAUAAAUUGCUAUUUGCAGAUGGCAUGAAAAUAUAUCGUGAAAUCCAAGAUGACGCAAACUGUUUCACUUUGCAGGAGGACAUAAAUUCUUUGACUAAUUGGUGUAUUCGUAAUAAAUUGUACCUAAACACAAGUAAAUGUGAAAUAAUGACAUUCACACGUAAAAUAUUACCGGUAUCACUUGUUAGGUACUAGAUGGUGAAAGUUUAACGCGAAUCACGAAAUCAAACGAUUCCGUUUGAUCAAAAACUCGCGUUUUCCAAUCGUUUUCAGAAUGUAAUAUCAACUUCAGUGAGAAAUCUGGGUUUCUUGAUACGCAGCUGCAAGGAAUUUAAAACCUUUCAUUCUUUGAAAACAGUUUACUUAACACUGAUCAGGAGUAAAUUAGAGUACUGCAGUGUCGUUUGGAAUCCGUCCCACAUGAAACAUAUAUCUAGUUUUAGAAAAUGUUCAAAAACAUUUUUGGAAUAUGCAUAUUUCAAACAACAUGGUGCUUAUCCCGACAGGGGUUAUGGCUAUGUGUUUUACAUAUAAAAUAAUACAUGGACAGAGAGAUUGCUUGUCUCUAUUGUCUCAAAUGCUAUUCAGUGUACCGCGUGUUUCAUCUAAAUUUUGUAACACAUUUCAUAUUCCGGUUUCCAAUACACUGCAUCAUUUUCAUUCUCCCAUAACUACUAUAUCUAGAAGUGUUAAUAAUGUUCCUAGAGUAGAUAUAUUUUUUCUAACGUUCAAACAAUUCAAAAAAGAGAUUCUUCGUUUCAUUCAAAAUUAAUCUUACUAUAUGUACAAUUAAAUUUACUUUGAUUUUACUAUUCCAAGGAUGAGUCGAGUAUGAAAUGGAAGUGAAUUCAUCCUUCAAUACAAAAAUUUUAUGGACCUAUAGAAGUAGUUGAAAAUGAAAUACUACGAAACUUUUAUUGUUACAGGAUAUUUGGGGGCCACUGAAUUUACUAUUAACAUCCCCACACGAUUUGAAUUUUUCCAUACUUCUCAUUACUUUGGAGGUCUGUUGUUAAAUAUUUCAGUUGCUUCACGAUGAGUUUAUAAUUAUAUAUAUUAUAAACGUCCGUUUUUGCAAAAAUAAAAUUUGUAGGAAACAGUGUAGAUCUACUAGAUAAGAAGCGUAAUUGAAAAUACUGGGAGAUUGGCGUUCCACGGUUAUUGUAAAAAGUGAGACGAAUCAAUUUCAAGGAAAUGUAAGGUGCUCUGUCAAAAUCCUUGGCAGCUCAAGACAUCCACCAGGAAUUGCAAUAACUGUACGCUCAAUAUUCUUAGAAAUGAGCUAUUCAUUUUGUUGUUGAUGAUUUUGAUGGAUAUUUAUCAAUAAAAAGUUACACAAGUA
rnacentral:lncRNA from 1 species